ACAAAAGAAAGAAAAAGAGGUUUCAUUGGGUCGACGUGGACUUUGAACCUAAUCAGUCAUUUCCUCCAAGUUUUCCUUGUUUAAUCUGGCACACCAAGAGAGAUAGACACCAUUUCCAGACCAUCCAGACACCAUUAAACAAAUGAAACGACUAUAUAGGAACGAGACCGUGAUUUGCCUAUACAGAGGGUUACCCUAUGUAGACACGGGUGCCGUACUCAAUUACGGAAUGUCAAAACCCCAAAUUGUCAACAGGAGGUUAACAUUAUACAAUGUCACAGUUUCCCAAGUAAACAAUGGCCGCUAAAAGCGAAUUAUUAUCGACGAUCGAGCGGUUUCACAUCAACACUCUGGACGAUACCGAUUACGUUGUCGAAUCGAAAUGUCUCCCUUUUAGAACCUGCGACAGAUACCCGGCGGUGUCGAAUGUCGCGUGUAUGGUCGUGCAUCUGGCUCUCCUUGCGAUCCUGGUGUUCGCCGUUUUGUAUUUUAUCAAGAGACCUUAGAGGAGUAGUUUGUACUGAUGAUAACCAAUAAAGAGACUGUUUAAGUUGA